rnacentral:lncRNA from 10 species
CUCAGGGCACCAGACCUGAACUGUGAGCUCUGGCUGAUGUCUCAAUGAAUGCCACCACCAUUGCCUAGAGACAAGUCCCUGUGGCUUAGCGGAGAAGGAAACAUCUGCGGAGGUGGGUCGGCCACAGACUUUCGCUUGUACUGUUUGUGGGACCCUCAGCAUAAUCUCAUGAUGCUAGGAGAAUGCUGAUGUGAGCCAGCCUAAGGAAACCUCAAGCAGAGCCGCAGGAAUUCACUACGAAAUCUCUUAAGUGUCCAAAAGGAUCUGCAGAAUGCCUCAGGCCUACCUAGACUUUGCAGGGGUGAAGGUGCAGGUCUGCAUCCAAACCUCACCAGAUUAUAUCCUCACCCCAUCUUACCUUACUGCUGCUCACACUGUUUGUCCCAGAAUAAAAUCCCAAGACGAUGGCGGAGUGCCCCCUCAUGACACGAAGCACCUGCUCUACUGUGAACCAAAUUCAAGAAUGGAAUCUCACACUGUCCCUUCGGCUGGAGUGCAGUGGUGCAGUCUUGGCACACUGAAAUCCCCUGGUUCCCAGGUUCAAGUCAUUAUUCUGCAUCGCAUCUUGAUACCUGAGAUUGCAGGAGUGCACCACCGCAGCUGAUAGGGCCUAUCACCAUAUUGGCCAAGCUUGUCUGAAGCUUCUGACCUUUCUUGGCCUUCAAAUGCGCUGGAAUUACAAGUGUGAGCCACCAUGCUAGUCCCUUCAUUGAAUUUCUAAUUGAGAAAAAAUCCCUCUUGAAAACUUUAGUUUUUUUAUAUCAUAUUUUUGAUGAGUUUCUUUAUAUGUUUCAUAAUUCAAGAAAAAUAAUAUAAUUUAAAUUCAUUUUCUUUUUAUUGGAAAUAAAUUUAUUUCAAUUAAUAUAUAGUUAACAGAGAAG